UACGGAGGGUGCAAGCGUUGUUCGGAAUUACUGGGCGUAAAGCGCACGCAGGCGGCGCAGCAAGUUCGACGUGAAAGCUCCCGGCUCAACUGGGAGAGGUCGUUGAAGACUGCUGUGCUUGAGGCAAUGAGAGGGGUGUAGAAUUCCCGGUGUAGUGGUGGAAUGCGUAGAUAUCGGGGGGAAUACCAGUGGCGAAAGCGGCACCCUAGCAUUAGCCUGACGCUCAUGUGCGAAAGCGUGGGGAGCGAACGGG
rnacentral:rRNA from 1 species